UGGAAGGCUACAUCGUCACAACAUGUCUGACUUCCGUUCGAAACGCCAUUGUGUUCCGGAUUGAUAACAUUAUGUCGUGGUACAAAAUAGCUAUACACCGUUUAAUUGAACUCUUCUAACUAAGGAGAUAAGAUAGGAAAUCACCAAAACGCUUAGAAAAUAUGUCAAUUUUCUUCCUGUUUAAAGCUUUUAACUAACAUUGAUUAUCAGCUGUUUUGUACGGAAAACGUGGAAUCUAAAUAAUAUACAGUUUCCCUGCUCUGCUGCUAUAUUGGCAAUACAUUUUUGUCAUGUCAUCUGCAACAGACGAUCAUACAUAUGUGACGGAUUAUCGAUAUAGCUAGGUAGCAAUAGCAGUGGAAGCCCGGAUUUGCAAGCCAAAUGAGGGAAAGACAGAAGUCUGAAAAGGAGCAUGUUUUUCAUUUCCACACAUCCAUGUGUAUCACUAUGGACAUCUAAUGCUUUUGUGGGAUUUUGUCCAGCAGUUUGCCUUAAAAGAAUUUUUUUAUAUUUUAGUUUCAUAUUUAUGUGGAUUCCAAUAAAAAUCAUACAAACUUUA